UACGAAGGGGGCUAGCGUUGCUCGGAUUUACGGGGCGUAAAGGGCGCGUAGGCGGUUCGUACAGUCAGACGUGAAAUUCCUGGGCUCAACCUGGGGGCUGCGUUUGAUACGUGCGGACUUGAGUGCGGAAGAGGGUCGUGGAAUUCCCAGUGUAGAGGUGAAAUUCGUAGAUAUUGGGAAGAACACCGGUGGCGAAGGCGGCGACCUGGUCCAUUACUGACGCUGAGGCGCGACAGCGUGGGGAGCAAACAGG
rnacentral:rRNA from 1 species